GAGCCAUUCGAACACGAACGCCAUGCCUCUGGCUCCAGAUUCAAUCUGAAACUGGAGCUGCGAAUCUGAAACUGGAGCUGUCUGGCUUCUCGUUAGAGCCGCAUUAGUCGAAUAAAAUAUUGUCCGUUUGAUCAAUUCCAUCAAUGGUGUCCGUCGAUAUAUACGUACUCAACUUUCAAACCAGGCACUGACACUGUACUGCUGUACACGCGACGGCAACGAGACUGGCUCGCGACGUUGACAUGCCCUUCGCAUAGAUUUUAUAUAACACUAAACGUAUACACAAUAAACUCGCUUUUGAUGCGUUUAAUCGAGAUAGCAAAUGGUGGCAACUUUAGGAAUGUUGAGUGUUGACACUUUAUAGAUAGGAGCAAGUUAAUUGAAACCUUACGUAUCUAUAGGCCUUGUCACACUAUUGCGUAUCGUACUAGCGUAUAUGCCAGCGUAUGAAAAAUAUCACUCAUACGCCGGUAUACGCUGACAUACGCUAGGGUACCUUAGGCUUAGUUAGAUUGUAUACGUUUCAAGCACGGUUGCAUACGGUGGCAUACGCUGGCAUACGGCGAGGCAGAAAUUUUUUUUUAAGCAUGCUCAAAAAUUUUGUGCGUAUUCGGACGUAUGGUUUAUACGAUAAGCAUACUCUAGGCACACGCUGAAUACGCUAGAGGUACACCAGAUGUACGGAACUCAUACGCUGGUAUUUCAAAGUAUUUUUGUGCGUAUGGAAAUUAUUUCAUUAACUCCAUACGCUUCUCAUACGUUUUUCUCAUACGCAAUAGUGUGACAGGGCCUUAAAUUCUAUCUAUUUGUCUCAAAAUAAAUAGCCCACACGCAGUCUCGUGACAUCGAUCAAACGACGUAUGAGGCAUGAACUCAAACUCGGGCAACGAAAUAAAAGACUGUUACAUGUAAUUAGGAUUCGAUAAAACUUGACCAGACAGGAGAUCAGACCAGUUCAAAUUUUUGUCGGACGUGAUCAGACACUGAUUAUUUAUAAUUAUAGGAAUUUACAGAGGAAAGUUGUACAGUACAUUGCAUUGUGAUUAUUUCACCUGUAUACUAUUAUUUAAAUAGAAACUCAAUAUAACCAUAGUUAAUAUGAUAUAACAUAGCAAUUUACCGGUGAUCAAUUGAAAUUCCCCGCCCUUUGCGGGUGUAGAGUCUGGGCGUACUGGUAUUCAAUCAACACCCCUUCUUACCAGUUACACCUAAAUUCUUCCUUUAACCUGACGCCUCUCCAAGAAUUUCGUUUUCGUUCGAAGCAGGAAGUUGAUUGUUAUUUG